rnacentral:rRNA from 1 species
UACGUAGGGACCGAGCGUUGUCCGGAUUCAUUGGGCGUAAAGAGCUCGUAGGCGGCUGUUCAAGUCGAACGUGAAAACUCGGAGCUCAACUCCGAGCCUGCGUUCGAUACUGGACGGCUAGAGUCUGGUAGGGGGGAUCUGGAAUUCCUGGUGUAGCGGUGGAAUGCGCAGAUAUCAGGAGGAACACCGGUGGCGAAGGCGGGAUCCUGGGCCAGUACUGACGCUGAGGAGCGAAAGCAUGGGGAGCGAACAGG